GGGCUGGGGCUCAGUGGCAGAGUGCUCUCCUAGCAUGCGUGAAGCACUGUGUUCGAUCCUCAGCACCACA
rnacentral:tRNA from 1 species